GAGUGGGGUGGGUGAACACCCAGUAGCAGGCGUACCACGCACGCCUCCUCCCCAUCGCUGCAGCCCCGCCGCCACUUUCCCCCAUCAUCCCCCUCGCUCAGUUGCUCCGCCCCGACGCCCUCCCGCCCUAUCACGCCGCCGUCCCGCCAUCCCACCGCCGCCUCCUCGCGCGGGCAGACGGGGACCCUCUCACGGCGGCGAAUAGGGGCACCAGCACCUCCGCAGGUGAAGGGGGCAGCGGAUUUGGAGGCGCGCUCGCUGGUUCCCAAAUAACCCUUGCCGCCGCGCUGCAGAGUAGCUGUGAUACCACGUCCAACUCCAGGCUCCCCGGUGCGUGCGGCCGCCUCCACCACGCCAGUCUCCUCGGUGCGCGCCCUGAGCGCCGCCCAGCGCGCUUUGGGUCAACGACAAGCGGAGCGGCACCCGGGCCGUCCCCGUCGCGUGGUGCCGCGCGCCGUCCAGCUCAUCCUCGUCGCAUGGGAUGCUGCCGCGGCCACCCGUCCCAUCGCGUCCCACCUCACCUCCAUCCCUGUGGGCCCGGAGCGCCACCCAUCUCGCCUUGGGUCACCGCUGCGCGGAGCGCUGCCCGGCCAUGCGUGGAGCAGAGGUACGGUGCCUCGCUUUUUUGUUGAUCUAAUCCGUUCGUUAGAGUUUGGUGCUGGAGGUCUCGAUCUGACAGGAUGGAACAGAAGGGGGCUAAGUGAAGGAGGAGAAGAAAGCGACCGCGGCAAUCUUCAUCAACUCGCGUGAUCAACACCGCAAAGGCCUCACGGCGGGUGGUGUCCUCCAGCGAUGGAGGCAGGGCUAUGGUGCCCGUAGUUUUAGUUUGGCGCUGGCGUGAUAGAGCCACUGGUGAUGGUGAAGCUGCUGCAGCCCAUGUACCACUUCGAGAGAUGCCAAGAUGAGAUUGUGAGUACUUCGUCUCCCUCUUAAUCCUCUUGAUGGUAAGCGUGCUUAUGUAGUACCUGAAUCAAUGAAGCUAGACUAAAUGUGAGUAUAUCUUACUCCGUUAAAUUUUGUCUUUUUGUUUUAGAAUGAGAGACUUAGCCUGCAUCUAUUAAUUCAAAUCUACCAUGUGGAGAUAUGCAUAAUGGAUAACAAUUAGUCACCAUCAAUGAUGUUCAGUGAUGCUGUAACAGCGAUGUUUCUGUCAAGAAACUGUAUUUCUUGUGGUUCUGUUGAUGUUUGAAUAGAACUGAAUUAAACAGACACUGUGAGCCUUUGUUCAGGUAAUCAAUAUAGCAACAUUAAUCUUGCAACAAACUAAAGUUCAGACUUUUCAGUUUGUCAUAGUUUAGCCUUUUGCAUAGGAUCAAUAAUCAGACUGUGAGGGAUAAAGAUGACAGGUUAUUUUGACCUGAGUCUGGACAGUGAACGGAAUAGUUCAAUAAUCAGAGGAACUUCAGCUCCACAGAGAUUUUGAACGCUGAGGAUAAAUUCUUUUGUGACAAAUGUUGCAGAACUGCUAUUUGGUGAUAGAGAAUGGAUGAAUAAUCUGAAAGGGUACUAAAUGAUGUUCAACCUUCUAGAGGAUUGGUCUUGGAAUAUAUGAUCACAUACGAGGAAUUUGAAUGCCUGAAUUAACAAUGUGAUUUUUUUCGCCACAUGUGAGAUUGGUAUGGGUAAUUCUUGAAAAUAUCAGGAAGAAUAAAAGCUCAUACUGUGCGCUCCUAGCCUCCAACAUAUAAUAGAGUUGUCUGCUAAGACAAGUGCUAAUGUGAAUUAUGUGAUGGUCCUUGUAGUGAACUAUAUCUGGAAUACCAGAAGUUGGCUCUCGCUUAGGCUCUAAGAUGUUGUAUGAACUAUAAUUUGUACUUUUGUUUUAGGCAAAGUGUAUGCUUCUAUUGGAAUACUAUGUUGUUAUAACUAUUUUCAUACAAUGAGAUUGAUGCUCAUGAAAGGAAUUUAUUUUUGUC